rnacentral:lncRNA from 1 species
AACACGGGACCUUAAAAACUAGGGUUUUCCGAAGCAAAACUUACCUGAAAAUGGUGUCUACGUGAUCGUGGAGUCCUCAGGGUUGCAAUGGUAGUCUUAACUUGGACGUUGGUAUAGGUUUUAGGUGGUUUUGGUGGUUGCCCGUGCGUUCGAGAAGAAGAGAGAGAGUGAGAGUUUCUGAGGAAGAGCUGAGGAAGAGAGAGAGAGAGUGACUGAGGAGAUGAGAGAGAGACAACAAACGGGAAAUGGGGAGGGAUUUAGGGUGUAGGACCCUACCUAAAGUCCAAACACAAAAUUAUUAGUCCAAGUUUAAGUUUAAUUAACAAUAACUUAGGAAUUUUAGGUAAAACCAAUACCAAAAUUACGCACCUUAAUCCCGUUUAAGGGCAUUUUCGUCUUUUCACGUCCUCGGAAUUAAAAUUCCAGGACGGGCUGUGACAAUCUUCCCUCCUUAUAGAAUUUCGUCCCCGAAAUUCCAGCAAUCAACUAAAUCAACCAUACUCCAACAAUAGCUUCGGGUAAAUCUCUCUCAUCCGUUUCUCUUUCUCCCACAUAAUUUUCUACUGAAUGAUUUCCUUCACAAAGCUUUUACCACUUACUCUGUCUUAAUUCUCAGGACCUUCUUUUCCCAAUCCAAAGUAGUCCUUGGUUCCUUAUCAAGUCGAAUCCAAUUGAAUUCUAAAUAGUUGCACCAGAAUCCCAUGUGACGAAUCUGCCACCUAGUGACAACGCAUCGAAAUAUAAUGCAUUAUGCACCUUAGCCAAUUUUGAAGGCAUCACAAACUUAUAUGCAACUUCAUUGAUUCUUUUAAUGAUCAAAACGGUCUGAUGUGUUUAAGACUUAUCUUGUCUCCUUUCCAAUUCUCGCCAUUUCUGUUCGUGGUGAAUUUUCCAAAAUAUCGAAUCAUGAAACACAUCAUGCACUUACGACAACUCUGGAAGCCAUUCAAAUUUGUAAGCAACUUCACCAACCUCUCGAUGAUCACUUAAAGUCCGAUGUACUUAGGAUUUAACUUGCCUUCCUUUCCAGACCGAAUCAUACUUUCCUAAGGUGAAAACUUCGAAAAUAUAAAAUCAUCUGUCUUAUACACUUGAUUAGUGGCAUAUCCAUCUGUUAAUCUCUUUUGCCAUUCCUGGCUACUUUCAGGUUAACUUACUCACCUGAAUAUUUUGAGGAGACUCAUCCAUAGUCUCAGGGUCUACUAAAACUCUUUCGUGAUCGAAUCUUCCUCUACCCAGAAGCAUUAGGCACAUACUUUUCGUUUGCUUGUAUUCACAUAUCAUUUGAUUCACGAAUCAUGUACUCAUUAUUUUUCCCUUCUUUCUCUACCCUGGGUUAAUUCUUAAAUUUCCUCGUCAAACAUUUAAGUUUUGAGUACGACCUUACCAAACAGGCCUAACUUGAAAUUUAACAAGUAUAACUUCUUCUCGAUCUUCCAUUCUUAAUUUUUCUUCCGUUGGUUUUCAAUCCACAAGAUGAUACUCUUGGCAAACGUGCCAGACAUUAAUCUUACUGUAGUCUUCUCACCAAGUGCUUCAGCUAGAACAAACUUUACGAUCACCCUAACAUUUGCAUCAACAUGCCUCCAAUACCAUUCAAGAAACAUCACUAAAAAUUUAUGAUUACCACUAUUCUCUGGGAAUACCAAAAUACGUGCAUGAGUGAGGAAAUACUUCAGUUGUUAAAUCCUUUGCUUACAAUUCCUUCCCACUCAUACCUAACCUCUUUUCUCAACAGUCUCGUCAAUGACAAAGCAACGACUGAAAAAUCUUUCACAACCAUCCAAGAUAGCCUGGUAAGCUAAGAAAUUCCAAAUCUCAAUUACGACUCGUGGUUGUUCCAAAUUUUAAUUUCUGUUACCUUUUAAGGAUUCACUUGAAUACCUUAAGAAUAUAUAACAUAUCCCAGAAAUGCUGCUUGAUUCAUCCAACAUUCGCAUUUGCUAAACUUAGCAUACAAUCGACAUUCUUCCAAUCUUUGUUCUACCGACUUAAUACGUUUACAUGCUCUGCUCUGGCUCAGAAUAUGCCAGAAUAUCUUCAAUGAAAAUGAUAUCAAUUAUCAAGGCAUUAUUGGAAUACUUCAUCCAUCAACUCAUAAAACCGCAUGAGUAUCCACAUAGCAUCACCAAACUUUAUAAGGACCAUAACAAGUCCAGAAACCAUCUUAUGAUCAACGUCACUUAUAAUAUUCAAUUGGUAGUAACCAGAUCUCAAUUCAAUCUUUGAAUCUUCGCAAUUACUUCUGAGCUGGUUAAAUAAACAUCAGUACAUCACCAUGGAUAACGGUUCUCAAUCGUUACCCGACUCCAUUGUCUAUAAUCAAUGAACAGUCUCAAGAUCCAUUUUCUUCCUCACCAACAAACUGGGCUCCUCAAAAGUGUUGUACUAGGUUGAAUAAAACUUUUAUCAACCAAUUCCCUCAACUGAAUUUCCAAUUCCCUUAACUCAUCAUGAACCAAUCUCCAAUAUAAAUUUAUACCUGGCAACAAAUCAAUAGUGAACCUCAUAUCUCUGCCUGAAGGCAAUCCAAGUAUACUUUCAGGGAAGACAUCAAGAAAAGUCUAACUCUUUCGACAUUAUUCACACUACUCCAAACAACAUCAUUUAGCACCACAUGAGCUAAGUAUUUUUGACAGCCUUUCGAAAACAAUCUCUUUGCUCUCACAGCAUAAAUAAUGGCUGAACUCAAUCCACUUUGCAUACUUACAAAAGUAAUCUCUGGUCAUCCAGAUCGAUGGAAAGUACUGGUUUCCCUUAACAUUCCGUCUUGUCACAAUUAUAACCAACCAAUCUAAUGGAAAUAAUUUAACCGACACAAUACAUACUCUAUUACUACUAAGCAUUCUGAAUAAGUACAAAAUAAUCUACCGGUUUACUUACUUAACGAAUCCACGAAUGAGUUAUUAAUAUUACGGUCUGCAGCCCGCAAUACUGAUAAAUCAUCGUUGUCUCGAUAAGUAGGCAACCACUCACAAAGAUAUAACAUUACUAUUUUGUCACUCAAUGCAAAAUACAUACACUCGUCUCAACUACAUUUAUUUACUACUCUCUAGGUAAUAACAUACAUAAUAAGAAAUAUAUCAGCCGAAGUCAACUAGAAUGACCAAUACGGUUGAUUCAACUCUUAUCUCAAUAAUACGUCGGCCGGAUCCACUCCGCGUGGUCGGUACGGCCGAGCCUAUAACUCACAAAUUUCGCAUGUGUCAAUCGAAUCCACUUCUCGUGGCCUGUACGGCUGAACAUAUAACUCAUCAAAUCUCUCUGUACUCACAGUCAAUCCGACCAAACUACUAAGUUUAUAACUCUUCUGAAUUGACACUAUGAUAUCAUGGAAAAUUAUUGAGUACAACUGAUUCUAGGGACGAUUCACAAUUCUGUGUCCCCUCUGUUCACAUAAACACAUUCAUUAAUUUCACACUUCCCAAAGUGUUAAUUUUUGUACCUGCAGCACAAGGUACAUUUCCUUUACUCGAGACACCUUGUCUCAAAUAUCUAGGAUUACCAGUAUAUCCAUCACUUUUAUUCUGACCAGCGACAUUAAAACCUCAGCUAGAAGAAUUAACUCUAGCUUCACUUCUUUCGAAGCUCUAAAUCUUUCUAUAUCCUUGAUAUGACGAAUCAUUAACUUUAUCGUCUUCUUUUAAUUCCCAUUCAUUUCUUAUUCUUCUUUAUUCUCGUUGCUCAUGUUCUCAGAGUCCUCAAGAUUCAACAACAUCUAGCAUACUCCUGAUAAGAACUACAAUGGAUAGUGGUCACCCAAAAUACCACUUCCCUUUUGUCACCCAGCUUAAAACAACAUAACACCUCCACCAAAUUAACAACAAUAUCUGGAUGGAACGAGGCUAGUCUGAAAACUUUCUAUAAUAUCCCUCGAUCAUCACCUUCCUUGUCUCAUAUUUGUAAACUCUUGUUUACUACCAUCGAUAAAUGCCGGAGGGAUAAACUUUUCCUUUAAACAAGUCCUUAAACAAUUCUCAAUCGACUGAUUCCUCUGGUGACAACAAUUCAUACUCCUGUUUCCACCAGGAUACAAAUUCAUAACCAAAACCAGGUAGUCGUCUCGACCCCUUGUCAGAAGGAAGAUUCCUUUGACUUGCAUAUUCCGAAACAUCUUUUCCAAUUGGUUAAUCCGUCACUUUGUUCCCUCAGGUUCAUCAUUUCUCUUAAGUGAUUCAAAUUCAACUCAUAACCCGUCUUAAAAUGUCCAUUUUUCUAAUAUACUGAAUCACCAUAAGAAUAGUUUCCCCUAACCCGCUAAAUCAGGGAGACUAAGUUCCUCUAACUACGUGGUUUGCUACGAGGCGGUGUAGUUCUGACAGAAUUCACUAGAAACUUCUCAAGAUGUCCAAGAUUGCAACCAUGCUCUGAUACCAACUGACAAACCCCAUCCCGAAGGAGGGCAUGCUGGCCGUCACGUGAGAGUGACGUAACCAUUUGCACAGUACGGAAGCUUUAAGAUACAAUUUAAAUUGAUACACCCGAAGGUGAGUCCUAAUUUUGUCCAAUCUGUCAGAACACCGUCGAAUUCCUCGUAGUCACCACACCUUUGUGAUUCCUGAACCUGGAGGGGCGCAAAACCAAAAUUGAGUGGGUCAGUAAAACAAUUCUUUUCCAAAUCCAAACAUUUCUCAAAACGUUGUAACCCCUCUCCGUAAAACCUGUAUACUUUCCCAGAAAUGUAAAAUAUAAAUAUACAUAUAUAUUCUCAAAACUUCAUUUUUACUAUCUCAACAUUAUCUCUUUAUCAAUCAUGCCAUGCCAUGUCAUCUCAACAUUUCUCAUAUUAAUUAUGCCAUGCCACAUCAUCUCAACAGUAAUAAGGUAUGAAUGCAUCAACAUAAUCAUAUCAGGUGCAAGAAAGUAAUCAACCGUAGGCCCUCUAAUAGCCCUAUACGGUUGAACCUAGAGCUCAAAAUCUAUCAUUAUCACUCUACCAGAGUCACCUCUGUGACCCGUCCGGCCUUCUGCACACAAGUUACGCUCUAGUGCUUCUCAUAAAUCAUCUGUGCACAUAAUCUAAGGUCACCCACCAGUCGGAAUCUCACUAACACUCUCGCGACUGGUCUGUCGUACCCACUCCGUGUGGACUGUACGACUAGCAUCUACUUGGAUCCAAGGCGAGCGUGCGAUGCGGUGAAUACUAUAAGCACUAAACCAUGGUGCAGGAUUUGAGCUCAAUAUAUAUCAUCAUCAUCAUAACAGUAAUUAAAUACUCAUCUGUGCGUCCACCGCACCAUUUCAUACAUAUGCAUCAUAAAUCAAUUCUUACCUGUGCGUCCACCGCACCAAUUCAUACAUAUGCAUCAUAUAUUAAUUCAUGCAUGGCAUUUCAACUCACAUUUCUAUAUACUUUUCAUAUCAAUUCUAUGCAUGGUAUUUCACUUCCCGUUUUUCCACAUAACUCAUAUGCAUUUCAUUUUAAACAUAAUUUCAUGCAUUUUCAAUUUCUGGGAAAACGUUAAGUAUAUAUAUAUAUAUACGGAAAACAAAACUGCCCACUCACCUGGAGUUCGUCCAACAACUCCCUAGCACCACACAUCAAGGCGUCACGACGAUCGCCGCCUAGAAUAGUAAUCAAAUCCAACCUCAGAAUUCAUAUCGAUAGAAUAUAUAACUUAUAUAAAAUACGUCACUACGUAGUUCGAUCCGGAAGAUCUGCCACUCAGAUUUUAAAUCCAUAACUUCCAGAGGUCCACAAUAUAUCUCUAGGAUAACAUCCUAAAAUUUCAUUACCAUCCAACGGUCGGAUCUCCGUCAAUUUCCAAAACUAAGUGACGGUUAACAUUUUAUAUAUUAUGGACUUACAAUUCCAAUUCCGGAAGAUCCGUAACUCGGAUUCCCAAUCCGUAAGUUCCAAAAUCCUCAAAUAUUACGUAUUACAACGUAUCAAAGUUUGGUGACGAUCCAACGGUCGGAUCAUCAAUUCACAUUUUCACCUAAAUGUGAAAACUAUAAAACGUUAUUUGAACACCUAACCAACAAUCUUCAAUAACUUUCUCAUACGGUGUUCAAUUUAGGUAUAUGAAUAUACCACAGUGAUCUACUCGACGUCACGGACGUCGACAUAUUUUUAAAAUAAUUUUAUUUUUAUUUUUUAUUUUUACUGUAGCACCUUCUUCUUCCUUGGGUCGCCGGACUGGUUUUUCCGGCGGCCGUUUUCUGGGCAGUUUUUCAAAUUGCCAUAACUUUGUCAUUUCUCAACGAAAUCAAGUGAUUCAAAAACUAAAGUUGUAGCCCUUGAAGAUACAAAGAGAAUGGUACCUUGCACAACACCUAGUUCGCCGUGGUUUGGCCGGAAACUUCCUCGAAAGCCUCGGAGGUCGCCGGAAACUGGGUAUUUUUCAAAUGAGUAUAACUUCUUCAAUACUCAACGAAAUUGAGUGAAACAAAAAGGAAAGUUGUAGUACUUGACGAGACGAAGAGAUUGAUACCUAUCUCGACUCCUAACUCGCCGGGGAUUCGCCGGAAAACGCAUCGAAAGCUCCGGCCAAACUUUGAACUUGUCGAUCUCCGUGUUCUUACGUCCAAAAACUUCCAACGAAGCACUCCGAGCUUCCUUGGGACCUCACUAAGCUCGCUGUGAUCUUGUUUUAGCCUAAAUCGUAACCAUUUAAAAGAUCAUGAACAGUAUAUAAACACGGGACCUUAAAAACUAGGGUUUUCCGAAGCAAAACUUACCUGAAAAUGGUGUCUACGUGAUCGUGGAGUCCUCAGGGUUGCAAUGGUAGUCUUAACUUGGACGUUGGUAUAGGUUUUAGGUGGUUUUGGUGGUUGCCCGUGCGUUCGAGAAGAAGAGAGAGAGUGAGAGUUUCUGAGGAAGAGCUGAGGAAGAGAGAGAGAGUGACUGAGGAGAUGAGAGAGAGACAACAAACGGGAAAUGGGGAGGGAUUUAGGGUGUAGGACCCUACCUAAAGUCCAAACACAAAAUUAUUAGUCCAAGUUUAAGUUUAAUUAACAAUAACUUAGGAAUUUUAGGUAAAACCAAUACCAAAAUUACGCACCUUAAUCCCGUUUAAGGGCAUUUUCGUCUUUUCACGUCCUCGGAAUUAAAAUUCCAGGACGGGCUGUGACA